rnacentral:lncRNA from 1 species
CAUUGAUCCUGACGGUGAAGAGCCCGGUGCAUACGACGGAGGAGCUGGCGGAGAAGUCACCGGAGAAGUUGCCGGAGAAACAGGGGAAGAUGAUUUAGGUGACAUUGAUCCCGGCGGUGAAGAACCCGGUGCAUACGACGGAGGAGCUGGCGGAGAAGUCACCGGAGAAGUUGCCGGAGAAACAGGGGAAGAUGAUUUAGGUGACAUUGAUCCCGGCGGUGAAGAACCCGGUGCAUACGACGGAGGAGCUGGCGGAGAAGUCACCGGAGAAGUUGCCGGAGAACCAGCGGAGGAAGAUUUAGGUGGCAUUGAACCCGGCGGAGAAGUCACCGGAGAAGACGACGGAGAACCAGGGGAAGAUGAUUUAGGUGACACUGAUCCCGGCGGAGAAGUUACCGGAGAAGAUGACGGAGAACCAGGGAAUGAGGAUUUAGGUGGCAUUGAUCCCGGCGGAGAAGUCAUCGGAGCAGAGGACGGAGAACCAGGGGAAGAGGAUUUAGGUGGCAUAGGUGCGGGUGGAGAAGUUGCCGGAGACAUAUGAGAGGAAGAUUUAGGUGCCAUUGAACCUGGUGGAGAAGUUGCCGGAGACUUAGCGGAGGAUGAUUUAGGUGGCAUUGAUCCCGGCGGAGAAGUCACUGGAGAAGAAGACGGAGAAACAGGGGAAGAUGAUUUAGGUGGUGUAUGUGCCGGUGGAGACGUCGCCGGAGAAACAGGGGAAGAUGAUUUAGGUGGCAUUGUUCCCGGUGGAGAAGUCACCGGAGAAACAGGGGAAGUAGAUUUAGGUGGCAUAGGUGCCGGUGGAGAAGUCGCCGGAGAAACAUGGGAAGAAGACUUAGGUGGCAUUGAUCCCGGUGGAGAAGUCACCGGAGCAGAAGACGGAGUAACAGGGGAAGAUGAUUUAGGUGGCGUAGGUGCGGGUGGAGAAGUCGCCGGAGAAACAGGGGAAGAGGAUUUAGGUGGUGUGUGUGCGGGUGGAGAAGUGGCCGGAGAAACAUGGGAAGAAGACUUAGGUGGCAUUGAUCCCGGAGGAGAAUUUCCCGGUGAUGCUGCUUGAGGAGGAGCCGGAGUUCUAACGGACAAGACAACGACAGUAAGCUUUUGUCCCUUCUUACAGUUAUCUUCAUUACCGCUAAUGAAGUAAAACGGACCAGAACGUUCA